AUGAAGAUGUAGAGCUCUCCGUUCCUCCCACCCCACAUCUGCCUGGACGCUGCCCUGCUCCCACCUUCAUGACAAUGCACUGAACCUCUGAACCUGAGUGCUUCUGUUUGAAGAAAUCCCCUGGCGUGUCUCUGACAGAGACUAUCCUAAGAGAAACCCUGGCUGCUGAGCUGCUGGCCCCACAGACUUUCGUCAGCGGCAAAGAACAACCCAAGAAGAUGACCCAGCAUUUGAAAGCCAUCAGGUUCUGAAGAAAGAAGGCAGGAGGCUCACAAGACCUUUUGGAAACCUUCAGGAGGCUCUACUCCUCCCUAAGAUUAUCUGAGAAUCAAAGAGUUGACUGAGGUGGGAUGUCUCAAGGGUUUACCUUCCUAUAAAUCAUCCAGGGAUCUUCUGAGGGCUGCAUAGCUGACAGCUUCUGCAAGCCAUCCUAAUAAAUUCAUUAAUUCACCAGGCUGAACUUCAAUGGAAUUCUUCUUUUGGUCUCCAGCAUUUGGGAUGGUCAGACGUCUCUAUGUUUUCCCAGAAAGAGCCAUGCAAUAAAGAUGUGUUGGACACCUGGAUUGUGUCUGCGUAGAGGAAAGCCAUCUGUAA